UGGGGAAUUUUGCACAAUGGGGGAAACCCUGAUGCAGCGACGCCGCGUGAUUUAGAAGGCCUUCGGGUUGUAAAAAUCUUUUGUAUAGGAAGAAAAUGACAGUACUAUACGAAUAAGGACCGGCUAAUUACGUGCCAGCAGCCGCGGUAAUACGUAAGGUCCGAGCGUUGUCCGGAAUCAUUGGGCGUAAAGGGUACGUAGGCGGCCUAGUAAGUUAGAAGUGAAAGAAUAUAGCUCAACUAUAUAAAGCUUUUAAAACUGUUAGGCUUGAGAGAUGAAAGGGAAAGUGGAAUUCCUAGUGUAGCGGUGAAAUGCGCAGAUAUUAGGAAGAAUACCGGUGGCGAAGGCGACUUUCUGGUCAUCAUCUGACGCUGAGGUACGAAAGCGUGGGUAGCAAACAGG
rnacentral:rRNA from 1 species